ensembl:lncRNA
GAGAGAAGAAGAAAGAGCCCGGUUCCUGGAGCUAUGGCCAGACUGUGGGGAGCCCGAGAAGAUGAUCCAAGAACAAGCUGGGAAGGUACAGUGGCAGGUCUUCAGCUUGUCUUCGGGGAGAGGAAACCCAGGAGGGAGGAAAAUUAUGGGCAAGGAAGAACAUCAGACAACAAGGAAUUAAUGUGGUGGACGACUCCCCUGCUGAUGAUGACUUGUAGACAACCCAAGAGGAACUGACCAUA